rnacentral:rRNA from 1 species
UACGAAGGGUGCAAACGUUGCUCGGAAUUAUUGGGCGUAAAGCGCACGUAGGUGGCUUUGCAAGUCGGAUGUGAAAUCCCUCGGCUCAACCAAGGAAGUGCAUCCGAAACUGCAGAGCUUGAGUACCAAAGAGGAUCGCGGAAUUCCCGGUGUAGAGGUGAAAUUCGUAGAUAUCGGGAGGAACACCAGUGGCGAAGGCGGCGAUCUGGGUGGAUACUGACGCUGAGGUGCGAAAGCGUGGGGAGCAAACAGG